rnacentral:rRNA from 1 species
GGUUGCUUCGGUAACUGACCUAGCGGCGGACGGGUGAGUAAUGCUUAGGAAUCUGCCUAUUAGUGGGGGACAACGUUCCGAAAGGAACGCUAAUACCGCAUACGCCCUACGGGGGAAAGCAGGGGAUCUUCGGACCUUGCGCUAAUAGAUGAGCCUAAGUCGGAUUAGCUAGUUGGUGGGGUAAAGGCCUACCAAGGCGACGAUCUGUAGCGGGUCUGAGAGGAUGAUCCGCCACACUGGGACUGAGACACGGCCCAGACUCCUACGGGAGGCAGCAGUGGGGAAUAUUGGACAAUGGGCGGAAGCCUGAUCCAGCCAUGCCGCGUGUGUGAAGAAGGCCUUUUGGUUGUAAAGCACUUUAAGCGAGGAGGAGGCUCCUUUAGUUAAUACCUAAAGAGAGUGGACGUUACUCGCAGAAUAAGCACCGGCUAACUCUGUGCCAGCAGCCGCGGUAAUACAGAGGGUGCGAGCGUUAAUCGGAUUUACUGGGCGUAAAGCGUGCGUAGGCGGCUUUUUAAGUCGGAUGUGAAAUCCCUGAGCUUAACUUAGGAAUUGCAUUCGAUACUGGAAAGCUAGAGUAUGGGAGAGGAUGGUAGAAUUCCAGGUGUAGCGGUGAAAUGCGUAGAGAUCUGGAGGAAUACCGAUGGCGAAGGCAGCCAUCUGGCCUAAUACUGACGCUGAGGUACGAAAGCAUGGGGAGCAAACAGGAUUAGAUACCCUGGUAGUCCAUGCCGUAAACGAUGUCUACUAGCCGUUGGGGCCUUUGAGGCUUUAGUGGCGCAGCUAACGCGAUAAGUA